GGCGAGAUAGUAUAAUGGCUAGUACACUCGGUUCUGAUCGUCUUCUGCUUCCGAGCAAUCUGGGUUCGAUCCCCAGUCACGCCU
rnacentral:tRNA from 1 species